AUGGUUCACAGGAAAUAAAAACAUAGGAAUUCUAAGAAAAAUUGUUUGUCCUAGAGAGACAAGAGGGAGAAACAAAAAGAUAGUGUGUUGGGACUCAUGUUUAUUUUCCUAUGGAAUAG
rnacentral:miRNA from 2 species